UUAGAAAGGAAAAUUUGUCCCUUUUCCUGAAAACGAAACUCUUCAAUGUAACAUGUAACAUUUAUUUAUGGUAAAUCUAUAAACCAAUCAUUAGUUUAGAUCAGUUCAGUUAAACCACCUCCAUCAUCCACUCCUAGGAAGGGUUCUAAACCAAAAACAAUAAAAAAAUAAAUGAAAAGGAUAAAAAAAACACAGAACCGCUUCUUAAUAUGGGAUUUUUAGAGUUGGUAAGCAUCCUUACGUGUCAUUUUCGUAUUGGAUCUCUCAUUUAUGUCUAUCUCUCCGUGGGCGUUUUGAUCCGAUAUCAGUUUUUGUCUUCCUCCUCCCGUCUCGAUCACUCCAUCUUCUGAUCUCGAUCUCCUUCUGUUACUAAUUGUGGAAGCUAAUCCUCGAUUUGAAUCUGGUGAUUCCAUUGGGCUAGAUAUUAUGUUUGGUCUGUGAUAGUGAAAGCUAUUCAAGGGGAAUCAGAGGUUUGCUCACCCUCUGUAUUUAUCACGGCCACUCUGUUUCUCGUCUUUCCGCUCACCCUUAUCGCCGCGUUUUCGUCAUAAGAUCUCAAAGGAAGAAACAUUAUCUGGUGUAGCUUCAUCACCUCCAUUUUUCCUCGGAUCUCCCCCACGCAGAACAUCAAACUAAACCUUGUCUCACCCUCACUCUCACCAUUGAUCCCAUCUCCAUCUCGUGUCAAAGGAGGAUGUUGUGGUUGAGUAAAGUUUGGGAUUAAAUCUGCAGCUGUUAGAGUAGAAGGAUUUGAUUGCUUAAACAGGGACCGCCAAAACUCAAGCAUACUUGCCAUGGCUUAGGAACGCCAAAACUCAAGCAUACCCACAGGUUUUGUUAUUUAUCCCUUCAAGUAGUUGUUUUCAUUUCUUUGUGGAUUGUGAAUGAUCUUUAUAACUUUAUUUGAUCCUGCUGUUAAGGGAACACUCAACGUUUUGAACUCGUCUACCAAAUUUUAUUUAUGCUUUUCUUCCA